rnacentral:rRNA from 1 species
CGAAAGCCUGACGGAGCAACGCCGCGUGUGGGAAGAAGGCUCUUGGGCUGUCAACCACUUUUCUCAGGGAAGAAGUCCUGACGGUACCUGAGGAAUCAGCCUCGGCUAACUCCGUGCCAGCAGCCGCGGUAAUACGGAGGAGGCAAGCGUUAUCCGGAAUUAUUGGGCGUAAAGCGUCCGCAGGUGGCUUCUCAAGUCUGCUGUCAAAGGUCGGGGCUUAACUCCGGAAAGGCAGUGGAAACUGAGGUGCUAGAGUGCGGUAGGGGUAGAGGGAAUUCCCGGUGUAGCGGUGAAAUGCGUAGAUAUUGGGAAGAACACCGGUGGCGAAAGCGCUCUACUGGGUCGCACCUGACCCUCAGGGACGAAAGCUAGGGGAGCG